AUGGCGAUUCAAGCUACCGGUGAAUUCAAAUAUGAUUAGAAAUGCGUUUAGGGUUGUUAUUGAUAUCGUUCAUCUACCGAUUCAUUGCUUCUUAUUCCAAUGUCAAUCCAUCACUAUCCCAAUCGAGAAGAAGUUGGAUACACAUCAGUAGACAAGACAGUUAAAUGUAAGCUUCAUACUGUUGUCAUGUACUAUACACACAUUGCUUAAACAUGCAAAACUAAUUUGGCGCCUUUCCAUCACUCUCCAGAAAAGGUUGUAUCAGUUAGAUUUUCAUUGAUUAAUCGAGGCUGAGGAAUGAAAAGAGCUUGAGUUUGAUAGUCCGAUGUUGUAUCACUAUGAUGAUUAAAGAACGAAACAAGGCAAAACCUGUUUGUUUCUUAAAUUGAUACAACUUCAAUGCAGUACAUAUAAAAGAGAUCUAUUUGUUUUUGUUUCAACCACGAUUGUUGUUAAGUAUGAUAG